rnacentral:rRNA from 1 species
UUUGUUACUUCAAACCAAUCGGACUUCGGUCUGACAUCAAGUGAUAUUGAACAAUUUAGCUGAUCGCACGGUCUAAGAACCGGCGACAUAUCCUUCAAAUGUCUGCCUUAUCAACUUUCGAUGGUAGAUUAUGCGCCUACCAUGGUUGUAACGGGUAACGGAGAAUCAGGGUUUGAUUCCGGAGAGGGAGCCUGAGGAACGGCUACCACAUCCAAGGAAGGCAGCAGGCACGCAAAUUACCCACUCCCGGCACGGGGAGGUAGCGACGAAAAAUAACAAGCUGGUCUCAAUGAGUUCCAGCAUUGUAAUGGGAACAAUUUAAAUCUUUUAUCGAGGAUCUAUUGGAGGGCAAGUCUGGUGCCAGCAGCCGCGGUAAUUCCAGCUCCAAUAGCGUAUAUUAAAGUUGUUGCGGUUAAAAAGCUCGUAGUUGGAUCUAGGAUUAGGGCUACGGGUCGUUCAGCUUGGACGUACUGUAUGCCCCGACUYCUUUUCUCUAGUAUCSRAUGKUGCUCUUAAAWGAGUGGACYUUAGUUGSYGGRAACUUUAMCYUKGAAAAAWUGAAAKKCUYMAARCARG